UAAAAGGGUUGUUUGCCGCCGCUGUCGGCCGGCGACGGUCGGCGCAGUAUGGUUAUCAAGACAUACUGAACACGUAUUUUUUUUAACGGUGAGGCCCUUUC